rnacentral:rRNA from 1 species
GACGUAGGGCGCGAGCGUUGUCCGGAUUUACUGGGCGUAAAGAGCGCGCAGGCGGUCGUAUAAGUCGAAUGUGAAAGCCCCUGGCUCAACUGGGGAGGGUCACGCGAUACUGAUCGACUCGAAGGCAGGAGAGGGUAGUGGAAUUCCCGGUGUAGUGGUGAAAUGCGUAGAUAUCGGGAGGAACACCAGUGGCGAAGGCGACUACCUGGCCUGUUUCUUGACGCUGAGGCGCGAAAGCUAGGGGAGCAAACGGG